UUAACUCAUGGACAAUAUUUCUAGUUGUCUAUUGAUUUGACUUGGCAACAACACCGACCCAGGGGGCUGGUGAAACAUUUGCAAGGUCAACCAUGAAAGCAGGCUCAAAAAUCAUUGCUAUUUUUUGAGUCCGAUAUCAUUUCUACUGCUGAAUCUCUAGGAGGGACUUUGCCUUGGGCCCUUGAUCCCUGAAGCAGGUUUCCAUGCUCGUUGACUUGAAGUUGUUUGCGAGUUAAGUGGCAAAAUUGUGAUCUCUCCCUGCCCAGCUUUCAUUUUAAUGCUUUCAGCUUCUUUAGUGGAGAUGUUCAUCGAUAAAGAAAGCUCAGCUCGUUGAGGAAGUAGAGUUCUUCAGAAGGUAUUUCAGAUAUUUUUCCUCCGAUUAUCAGCAGUAAAGAGUCCCAUUAAGUGAUUCUUCUGCUUCUCUUUGAACCAUUGAGCUGGAAUCACCAGCACUUGCUCCCUUAACUCCAAAAAUUUUAUUUGAUUGCCAGCUGGAAAUCAUCUGAUCAGAUGAUCCUUUCCCAGAGUCUGAAAUUGAUUGUUCUUAUGAGUUCUUUUGCUCCCUUGGUUUCUUCUCCAAAGCUUUCUUUACCUCCCGUAUUUCUAUAUUUUUUGCUAAUUUUGCUGAUGGUGGUUCAGCUUGCCACUGUUCUGGAAUAUUUUCUGAAGAAAUAUUCACAUCAUUUACUUGCCCAAAAUAGAGUCAUAUCAGACAUACUCAGAGCAUAUUUAUUUCUCAAAUAUUGGUAAAAUAUUUUAGAAAUAACCAAAUAUGAAAUAAAUAUUUGUAAAAUAUUUAUUUCACAUAUGAUGCCUUGAUCAGCAUAUACAUAUUUUGUGAAAUAAGUAUAUGAAAUAAAUAUCUCAUAUACUUACUUGGCCCAUAAAUAGCCCUGUCUUUCUUCUCGGUGCUCAUCUUUUUUCUUUUGACUAUCUUGAUGCCAUCACCUAUUCUGAAUAAGACUGAGUAUUGGUCGGAACAAUUUAUUUAUUUUGAUCAUCCAACUUUUGAUUGGUUUACUAAGUUGAAAUAUCGUCACAAAUCAGGAUGUCACAAUAAAUAGGUUGCAUUGCCGAAUUAUAAUAUCAUUACCAUUGAUUUGCUUUUUGUUUAGAGUUUCCAAUUUGGCAAGUCAAUCUCUUCUUGAUCGGCUUUUGGCUAAUCAUGUGUUUUCAUUUUUUUCGGACUAGUUCAAGUGGACCCUCGCACAUUCCUCUCUUAUCAACCAUGUCUGCAAUCUAAGUUCAAAGUCUAUUGCACUCGGUCUACCUUUGUUGCAAUCGAGAAGAAGUGCGGGAAGCAGAACAUUAGAUUAUUUCAUAUUUAUUUCUAACAUAUUUUGACAAAUAUUUGAUAUAAUUAUUUAAUAAAUAUAUGAAAUAAAGAUUUUUAAUUCAAAAAAUUAUGUAACUUUGGCCCAUGUGUUCCAAUUUCAAUUUAAAUUAAACAAGUCAUAAGAUUAAUCUAACUAGCUUUGGGGCAUACGCUCAAAUAGCAGAAGUCAGUUCCAGUGAUGAUAAUUAGUUACUCUUAGUUGAGAAGAAUGACCAAAAAAAUCAAUAGUAGAUUGCAUUAUCUCGUGUUGACAUCACUCUUAGUUGAGAAGAAUGACCAAAAUAAAUCAAUAGUAGAUUGCAUCAUCUCGUGUUGACAUCAAGUUUUCUAGAAAAAAUAAUGAUAUCUUUGUAAAAUUCUCACCUCAAUAAAAGAACAAUAACUCAUCGAGCAAUGAGGAGAAUAAUUGUGACUCAACUGCUACAAAUGAUGAUCAUAACAUAGAUAGGUUGAAACGUGCUGCAGUUAGUGCACUCUCAGCUGCUACCGUGAAAGCUAAGUUUCUUGCCAAACAGAAAGAAGAUCAAAUCCGGUAGCUCAUCUCUAUGGUUAUUGAGAAGCAGGUAUUGUAUGAGAUCAUGGAGAUGGACAUCCAUACUUCUUCAAUUAUCGAUUUUGGAUGAAUGAUAAUAAGCAAGAUAUGUUGUCAGAUUUGAUCAUCAAGCUGGCAUUUUUUCCUUCUGUUCUAAAUUACUAGAGUGGUGCCAAUGCUAAUUCUUGCGUUUCUGCAGUUGCAUAAGCUGGAGGCUAAAUUGGCAUUCUUCACUGCCAUUGAAAGUGUCAUCAUGAGGGUAAGGGAACAAACAGGCAGAGCAAGACAGAGGCUUCUUCAUGAGCGUUCACAAAUAAUUGCAGCUUGACUUGGCCUGCCCACAUCCUCAUUUAGAGCAAAUCCACCGUCCCUACCUGCAAGAAUUGCAAUGGUCUAUGGCACUACAGGUCCAAGGCCACUUACCAUUAGAAGGCCAUGAUGUCUGGCUAUCUAGAUGUUCCUUCUAUGUACCCGUAUGUAUGGCCAUUCCUUUUCGGUCUUAGGUAUUUGGGAUUUGAGAAUUGGGAGAGACUGAGGUCGGAGAGCGAGGGCCUAACGGGUUUUCCGAAUUCAGAUCACAUCGUAAGAUUAGAAAUCCAAAAUUUCCUCCAAAAAUCAAAUAGAUUGUGUCGGGUCGGGUUCGAAUUUAGUAAAACCAAACCCGGCCCGAAAAUAAAAUAGUUUUAAUCUUAGAAUCUGACCCGGCCGCAUGGAUCCUUUAACACAGGUCGGCUCGCGUCUAAGCAGUUUAGUAAAACCAUAUGCAGCCUUAGUUAUUGCUCAUGCGUGUUCCUCGUGCAAAUGUAGCAUAUUGCUCCCUGCAACGAUUUUCCAUUGCAAGCAAUUCGUUCCUUUUUAUAUAAAAAAAAGUCUGAUAAAAUAUUCAUACGAUCUUUUUGUUGGUUCAAAACUAACAAUCUUAUGAUCAUCAGAACUUUCAGGUUUGGCAUCAUCAAUGUAAAAUCGCUACUUGGUGCUGAGGUUGUAUUCUCCUGUUUUUGUGAGCUUAACAUAACCUGUACUUUAUUUUAUUGUGACGCUCCUCGUCAUAAGAUCAUUGUAUACAGAACAUAUUCGUCUGAUUCUUUGUGCAUUUACCUGAAAAAGAAGUCUUAUAUGUGCGGUUGUUAUCUAAUUUCACUGUGUAAGCAUUUCCGUUUAAUUACCAGUGGAAACUCAUUGGAAGACUCGGUGCAGGUAAAUGUGAAGUAAUGUUUGCAGAAAGUCCAUUUCAUCAUGGUUCGUGUGCAGGCUGCGCUCAGGCUGUGCUCAUCAUGGCCAGGCCAAGCUGCUUCCCGUGCUAUUUGUGGCUUGCUCUGGAACGGCUAUGCUCCUACAAUUGCCGAUAGAUCAUUGUAUAAUCUAAGAAACCAUUGCUAGAGGCAUAGUUCAGGAUUAUGAGCAUUUCUACAAGCAUAAUAUAACUACUGUUAGAGCUUUAUGUUAAUAGAUCUUUUGGUGUAUGUAAUCCGCAUGGUUUUUUUAAUUUAAGAAAGGAGUAUUUGAUAGAUAGCUAUGACCAG
rnacentral:lncRNA from 1 species